CCUACGGGAGGCAGCAGUGAGGAAUAUUGGUCAAUGCGCGGAAGCCUGAACCAGCCAAGUAGCGUGCAGGAUGACGGCCCUACGGGUUGUAAACUGCUUUUAUACGGGAAUAACGCGCCUUACGUGUAGGGCUUUGCAUGUACCGUAUGAAUAAGGCCCGGCUAAUUCCGUACCAGCAGCCGCGGUAAUACGGAAGGUCCGGGCUUUAUCCGGAGUUAAUGGGUGUAAAGGGAGCGUAGGCCGCAUGUCAAGCGUGCUGUGAAAUGUCCGGGCUCAACCCGGGCCUGGCAGCGCGAACGGGCGUGCUUGAGUCCGCGGAAGGCAGGCAGAAUUCGUCGUGUAGCGGUGAAAUGCUUAGAUAUGACGAAGAACCCCGAUUGCGAAGGCAGCUUGCUGCAGCGGAACUGACGCUGAGGCUCGAAAGCGCGGGUAUCGAACAGGAUUAGAUACCCGUGUAGUC
rnacentral:rRNA from 1 species